rnacentral:misc_RNA from 1 species
GAUGAAGAACGUAGCGAAAUGCGAUAAGUAGUGUGAAUUGCAGAAUUCAGUGAAUCAUCGAAUCUUUGAACGCACAUUGCGCCCCUUGGUAUUCCAUGGGGCAUGCCUGUUCGAGCGUCAUUUGUACCUUCAAGCUUUGCUUGGUGUUGGGUGUUUGUCCCGAGGGACUCGCCUUAAAGUAAUUGGCAGCCAGUGUUUGGCUUUGAAGCGCAGCACAAGUCGCGAUUCAAGGCUACACGCCCGCUUCCACAAGCCUUUUUUAACUUUUGACCUCGGAUCAGGUAGGGAUACCCGCUGAACUUAAGCAUAUCAAUAAGCGGAGGA